CGCUGGCGGCGGCUUAACACAUGCAAGUCGAGCGAAGACUUCGGUCUUAGCGGCGGACGGGUGAGUAACGCGUGGGAACGUGCCCUUUGCUACGGAACAGUCCCGGGAAACUGGGUUUAAUACCGUAUACCCUCUUAGGAGGAAAGAUUUAUCGGCAAGGGAUCGGCCCGCGUUGGAUUAGGUAGUUGGUGGGGUAAUGGCCUACCAAGCCGACGAUCCAUAGCUGGUUUGAGAGGAUGAUCAGCCACACUGGGACUGAGACACGGCCCAGACUCCUACGGGAGGCAGCAGUGGGGAAUCUUAGACAAUGGGGGAAACCCUGAUCUAGCCAUGCCGCGUGAGCGAUGAAGGCCUUAGGGUUGUAAAGCUCUUUCGCUGGGGAAGAUAAUGACGGUACCCAGUAAAGAAGCCCCGGCUAACUCCGUGCCAGCAGCCGCGGUAAUACGGAGGGGGCUAGCGUUGUUCGGAAUUACUGGGCGUAAAGCGCGCGUAGGCGGAUUGGAAAGUUGGGGGUGAAAUCCCGGGGCUCAACCCCGGAACUGCCUCCAAAACUAUCAGUCUGGAGUUCGAGAGAGGUGAGUGGAAUUGCGAGUGUAGAGGUGAAAUUCGUAGAUAUUCGCAGGAACACCAGUGGCGAAGGCGGCUCACUGGCUCGAUACUGACGCUGAGGUGCGAAAGUGUGGGGAGCAAACAGGAUUAGAUACCCUGGUAGUCCACACCGUAAACGAUGAAUGCCAGACGUCGGCAAGCAUGCUUGUCG
rnacentral:rRNA from 1 species